rnacentral:misc_RNA from 1 species
GAUGAAGAACGUAGCGAAAUGCGAUAAGUAAUGUGAAUUGCAGAUUUCAGUGAAUCAUCGAAUCUUUGAACGCACCUUGCGCCUUGUGGUAUUCCACAAGGCAUGCCCGUUUGAGUAUCAUUAAAUCAUCAACUCUAAAACCUUUGUGGUUUUUUUAGAGCUUGGUCUUGAGGGUUUUGCAGGCUUUUUUUUUUCGAGUCUGCUCCCUUUAAAUGCAUUAGCGAGACUUCCCUAUGCUGAACCGUCUCUUUGACGUGAUAAUUAUCUGCGUCGAAUUUUGGUUCUCGUUGGGCUUGCUUCUAAUCGUCUGUUAAAGACAAAACGGAUUUGGGUGCAUAUAUGCGCCUUUUUCCAAAACCUUUUUUGAUCUCAAAUCGGGUAGGACUACCCGCUGAACUUAAGCAUAUCAAUAAGCGGAGGA